rnacentral:rRNA from 1 species
GUUUGAUCCUGGCUCAGAAUGAACGCUGGCGGCGUGGAUUAGGCAUGCAAGUCGAACGCGAAACGGAUUCUUCGGAAACCGGAGUAGAGUGGCGAACUGGUGAGUAACACUUGGAGAACGUGCCCUCGAGUGGGGAACAUGUCCGAAAGACGUAAAUUCCGCAUAACGUCAUCUUCUCACAUGUGGAGAUGGCCAAAGGUGCCCUCUGUUUCAUGGUACCGCUCGAGGAUCGCUCCGAGCCCUAUUAGCUUGUUGGCGGGGUAACGGCCCACCAAGGCGAUGAUGGGUAGCUGGCCUGAGAGGGUGGUCAGCCACACUGGGAUUGAGAUACUGCCCAGACUCCUAAGGGAGGCAGCAGUCGAGAGGCAUCCGCAAUGGGGGAAACCCUGACGGUGCGACGCCGCGUGGACGAUGAAGGCUUUCGGGUUGUAAAGUCCUGUCAUAGGGGGGAGAACUUCAUCCAGUCAAAUAGGCUGGGUGAUUGACGUUGCCCCUACAGAAAGACCCGGCUAACUCCGUGCCAGCAGCCGCGGUAAUACGGGGGGGUCUAGCGUUAUUCGGAUUUACUGGGCGUAAAGGGCGCGUAGGCGGAAUCGUGGGUCGAUCGUGAAAUCCACCGGCUCAACCGGUGAACUGCGGUCGAAACUGCGGAUCUUGAGUUUGGUAGAGGAAGACGGAAUUCCUGGUGUAGCGGUGGAAUGCGUAGAUAUCAGGAAGAACACCAGUAGCGAAGGCGGUCUUCUGGGCCACAACUGACGCUGAGGCGCGAAAGCUAGGGGAGCGAACAGGAUUAGAUACCCUGGUAGUCCUAGCCGUAAACGAUGGGUACUAGGUGUAGGAGGUACUGACCCCUUCUGUGCCGCAGUUAACGCAUUAAGUACCCCGCCUGGGGAGUACGGUCGCUAGGCUGAAACUCAAAGGAAUUGACGGGGCCCCGCACAAGCGGUGGAGCAUGUGGUUCAAUUCGACGCAACGCGAAGAACCUUACCGGGGUUUGACAUGUACCGGACAGGUAUGGAAACAUACCCUCCCUUCGGGGUCGGUACACAGGUGCUGCAUGGCUGUCGUCAGCUCGUGUCGUGAGAUGUUGGGUUAAGUCCCGCAACGAGCGCAACCCUCGUCGCCUGUUGCCAUCAGGUAAUGCUGGGCACUCUGGCGAGACUGCCCGCGAUAUGCGGGAGGAAGGCGGGGAUGACGUCAAG